rnacentral:rRNA from 1 species
UACGUAGGUGGCAAGCGUUUGUCCGGAAUCACUGGGCGUAAAGCGCGCGCAGGCGGCGAUCUACGUCUGGGGGUGAAAGCCCGGAGCUCAACUCCGGGGACUGCCUUGGAUACGGGAUCGCUUGAGAAUUGGAGAGGCAAGGGGAAUUCCACGUGUAGCGGUGAAAUGCGUAGAUAUGUGGAGGAACACCUGUGGCGAAGGCGCCUUGCUGGCCAAUUUCUGACGCUGAGGCGCGAAAGCGUGGGGAGCAAACAGG